AACGAACGCUGGCGGCAGGCCUAACACAUGCAAGUCGAACGCACCGCAAGGUGAGUGGCGCACGGGUGAGUAACACGUGGGAAUGUACCCUUUGGUUCGGAAUAACGUUUGGAAACGAACGCUAAUACCGGAUGAGCCCUGCGGGGGAAAGAUUUAUCGCCAAAGGAGCAGCCCGCGUCUGAUUAGCUAGUUGGUGGGGUAAAGGCCUACCAAGGCGACGAUCAGUAGCUGGUCUGAGAGGAUGAUCAGCCACACUGGGACUGAGACACGGCCCAGACUCCUACGGGAGGCAGCAGUGGGGAAUAUUGGACAAUGGGCGCAAGCCUGAUCCAGCCAUGCCGCGUGAGUGAUGAAGGCCUUCGGGUUGUAAAGCUCUUUCGCACACGACGAUGAUGACGGUAGUGUGAGAAGAAGCCCCGGCUAACUUCGUGCCAGCAGCCGCCGUAA
rnacentral:rRNA from 1 species